rnacentral:rRNA from 1 species
UACGUAGGAGGCGAGCGUUGUCCGGAUUUACUGGGCGUAAAGCGCGUGUAGGUGGUGGAGUAAGUCCAUUGUGAAAGCUCCGAGCUCAACUUGGAGAGGUCGGUGGAAACUACCUCACUUGAGGACGGUAGAGGGGGGUGGAAUUCCCGGUGUAGUGGUGAAAUGCGUAGAUAUCGGGAGGAACACCAGUGGCGAAGGCGGCCCCCUGGGCCGCUCCUGACGCUGAGACGCGAAGGCCAGGGUAGCGAACGGG